rnacentral:tRNA from 1 species
AGUACCGUAGUUCAAUGGCUAGAAUGCUCGACUGUCUAUCGAGAAGUUGCGAGUUCGAAUCUCGUCGGUACUG